rnacentral:rRNA from 1 species
AUUGAACGCUGGCGGCAUGCCUUACACAUGCAAGUCGAACGGUAACGGGCCUUAGGGUGCCGACGAGUGGCGAACGGGUGAGUAAUACAUCGGAACGUGCCCGAUCGUGGGGGAUAACGAGGCGAAAGCUUUGCUAAUACCGCAUACGAUCUAUGGAUGAAAGCGGGGGACCGCAAGGCCUUGCGCGGACGGAGCGGCCGAUGGCAGAUUAGGUAGUUGGUGGGAUAAAAGCUCACCAAGCCGACGAUCUGUAGCUGGUCUGAGAGGAUGAUCAGCCACACUGGGACUGAGACACGGCCCAGACUCCUACGGGAGGCAGCAGUGGGGAAUUUUGGACAAUGGGCGCAAGCCUGAUCCAGCCAUGCCGCGUGCAGGAUGAAGGCCUUCGGGUUGUAAACUGCUUUUGUACGGAACGAAAAGCCUUCUUUUAAUACAGGAGGGUCAUGACGGUACCGUAAGAAUAAGCACCGGCUAACUACGUG